ACCUGCUUCGUCUUCCAAAUACAUCCCUCUCUCAACAUUGAAUACAUGUAGACCAAGAAAGCCGCCCCCAAUUAUACUCAUGGAUCUGCUCGAGAUCCAUGAAGUGUCGUAGGUAGAUGAAGUUGGUAUAAGUGGCACUCUGGUCCACAAAAAUAAUAGUGCCAACCAAAAAAAAGAAGGUAUGCUCUCAAUGCCCGCGAUCUAUGGAUUGCCACCUGCUCAUGAUCCAUAUAAGCCUGCUCUGCUCUCUGGAUCU
rnacentral:lncRNA from 1 species